AGUGAACGCUGGCGGUAGGCCUAACACAUGCAAGUCGAACGGCAGCACAGUAAGAGCUUGCUCUUACGGGUGGCGAGUGGCGGACGGGUGAGGAAUACAUCGGAAUCUACUUUUUCGGGGGGGAUAACGGAGGGAAACUUACGCUAAUACCGCAUACGACCUACGGGUGAAAGCAGGGGAUCUUCGGACCUUGCGCGAUUGAAUGAGCCGAUGUCGGAUUAGCUAGUUGGCGGGGUAAAGGCCCACCAAGGCGACGAUCCGUAGCUGGUCUGAGAGGAUGAUCAGCCACACUGGAACUGAGACACGGUCCAGACUCCUACGGGAGGCAGCAGUCGGGAAUAUUGGACAAUGGGCGCAAGCCUGAUCCAGCCAUACCGCGUGGGUGAAGAAGGCCUUCGGGUUGUAAAGCCCUUUUGUUGGGAAAGAAAAGCAGCAGGUUAAUACCCCGCUGUUCUGACGGUACCCAAAGAAUAAGCACCGGCUAACUUCGUG
rnacentral:rRNA from 1 species